UACGUAGGGUGCAAGCGUUGUCCGGAAUUAUUGGGCGUAAAGAGCUUGUAGGCGGUUUGUCGCGUCUGCUGUGAAAUUUCGGGGCUCAACCCCGAACUUGCAGUGGGUACGGGCAGACUAGAGUGUGGUAGGGGAGACUGGAAUUCCUGGUGUAGCGGUGAAAUGCGCAGAUAUCAGGAGGAACACCGAUGGCGAAGGCAGGUCUCUGGGCCAUAACUGACGCUGAGAAGCGAAAGCUGGGGAGCAACAGG
rnacentral:rRNA from 1 species